CGUUCCCGGGUCUUGUACACACCGCCCGUCACACCACGAAAGUCGGCAACACCCGAAGCCGGUGGCCUAACCCGCAAGGGAGGGAGCCGUCGAAGGUGGGGCUGGGCGAUUGGGGUG
rnacentral:rRNA from 1 species